rnacentral:rRNA from 1 species
GAUGAACGCUAGCGGCAGGCCUAAUACAUGCAAGUCGAGGGAGAAUGUUGGAUUCGUCUGACAUGAAACCGGCGCACGGGUGCGUAACACGUAUGCAACCUACCUUUAACUGGGGUAUAGCUCAGAGAAAUCUGAAUUAAUCCCCCAUAAGACUACGACAUGGCAUCAUGAUGUAGUUAAAGCUCCGGCGGUUAAGGAUGGGCAUGCGGUACAUUAGCUAGUUGGUGAGGUAAUGGCUCACCAAGGCUACGAUGUAUAGGGGGUCUGAGAGGAUGAUCCCCCACACUGGUACUGGGACACGGACCAGAGUCCGACGGGAGGCAGCAGUAGGGAAUAUUGGUCAAUGGACGAAAGUCUGAACCAGCCAUGCCGCGUGAAGGAUGAGGGCCCUAUGGGUCGUAAACUUCUUUUAUUAGGGAAGAAAAAACGGGAUGCGUCCUGUACUGACGGUACUUAAUGAAUAAGGAUCGGCUAACUUCGUGCCAGCAGCCGCCGUAA